rnacentral:misc_RNA from 1 species
AUUUUUCUCAUGUACCAGGCUAACAAGGAGCGAAAAAGUAAGAAAAUCAACGGUAUUUUCUCCUCUGCCCCUCCAUUUCACAUUCCUAUUCUCUUCUGCCUCUUAGCUAUCUCCUCCUCUCUCUCAAGAACCCUAGAGCUCCUGCUAAUCUGUUCUCGAAAUGGGAUUUCAUGGACCUCUAUAUAUGGUACUAGCUAUAUUAGCUUUAACUCCAUGUUUCGCCUCUGCUGGAGACAUAGUGCAUCACGACGAUGUAGCUCCCAAGAGGCC